GAUGGUAGAAGAUCCCCUGCAGUCUCAGAGACUCAAAUUUGCUUUUGAAUCUGAAAAAGGUCUUCUGGCUUUGAUGCAUCAGAGCAACAAUGUGGACAGCAGUCGCUGCUACCAGUGUGUGAAGUUCCUGGUCACACUGGCACAAAAAUGUUCUCCAGCUAAGGAUUAUUUUAAGGAACUUUCAGGACACUGGAGUUGGGCAGUGCAGUGGCUUCAGAAGAAG